rnacentral:rRNA from 1 species
UACGGAGGGUGCAAGCGUUAUCCGGAUUCACUGGGUUUAAAGGGAGCGUAGGAGGGCAGGUAAGUCAGUGGUGAAAUCUUCGAGCUUAACUCGGAAACUGCCGUUGAUACUAUCUGUCUUGAAUACCGUGGAGAUGAGCGGAAUAUGUCAUGUAGCGGUGAAAUGCUUAGAUAUGACAUAGAACACCGAUAGCGAAGGCAGCUUGCUACACAAUAAUUGACGCUGAGGCACGAAAGCGUGGGGAUCAAACAGG